UACAGAGGUCCCAAGCGUUGUUCGGAUUCACUGGGCGUAAAGGGUGCGUAGGUGGUGGGGUAAGUUUGAUGUGAAAGCUCCGAGCUUAACUCGGAAAUGGCAUUGAAUACUAUCCUGCUUGAGGUUUGGAGGGGGGACUGGAAUUCUCGGUGUAGCAGUGAAAUGCGUAGAUAUUGGGAGGAACACCAGUGGCGAAGGCGGCUCACUGGACCGGAACUGACGCUGAAGCGCGACAGCGUGGGGAGCAAACGGG
rnacentral:rRNA from 1 species